rnacentral:rRNA from 1 species
UACGUAGGGGGCGAGCGUUGUCCGGAUUCAUUGGGCGUAAAGAGCGUGUAGGCGGCCAGGUAGGUCGGUUGUGAAAACUGGAGGCUCAACCUUCAGAGGUCGACCGAAACCAUCUGGCUAGAGUCCGGGAGAGGAGAGUGGAAUUCCUGGUGUAGCGGUGAAAUGCGCAGAUAUCAGGAAGAACACCCGUGGCGAAAGCGGCUCUCUGGAACGGUACUGACGCUGAGGCGCGAAAGCGUGGGGAGCGAACAGG